rnacentral:lncRNA from 1 species
UUGUUCAGGAGGUUGUUGAUAGAAAUAUAGUUGGAGAUAAUGAUGUUACACCCACAGAUUGUGUUCCAAUUGGAUAUGCAAUUGAUUAACUACAAAUAACUACAAUUAACUACAAAAUUGAUAUAACUACAAAUAUUGUAAUUAAUUGCUUAGCUUUCAUGAAUAUGAACUACAAUGUUUUGUCUUUAUCUACAACCUUUUGUCUUUAUCUAUUAUG